rnacentral:rRNA from 1 species
UACGUAGGGUGCAAGCGUUAAUCGGAAUUACUGGGCGUAAAGCGUGCGCAGGCGGUUAUAUAAAACAGAUGUGAAAUCCCCGGGCUCAACCUGGGAACUGCAUUUGUGACUGUAUAGCUAGAGUACGGUAGAGGGGGAUGGAAUUCCGCGUGUAGCAGUGAAAUGCGUAGAUAUGCGGAGGAACACCGAUGGCGAAGGCAAUCCCCUGGACCUGUACUGACGCUCAUGCACGAAAGCGUGGGGAGCAAACAGG